CUCCUACUGAAAUCCUUAUCUCUCGCCGCCUAGCUUCACCCGCACAUGCCCACCGUCGUUCGUGUCGCCCACCUGCAGCCCCGCCUCUCUCUUCCUUCCUCCUUGCACCACGCUACUUGAUGUGUCCCUGCACGGUCGAGUCAUGGCACCAUCGCCGUCGGGAGCAGCGACUGUGGUUCCUCAGUGUCCCUGCUCCCCUGCGCUUUGUCCUAGGGUUGCGUGGUGGGGAGGAGAAAAGGUACCAGUGGAAGAUGGCGCUGCCGCAACGACAAAGAUGGGAGCGGUUAGCCAUGGAGUGGGAUGUGCAGAGGCGGAGGUGAGAUAACUAGAGCAUAAGAAAUUGAACGGCUUCUUCUCCAUCCCAUUUCCCUUCGUUUGCCUACUCCCUUCACCGCAUACGGAUAGGCCCUCAAGGUGAUUUGCUUCUUCUCCCCAUACCAAAUCCUAAGUGCUGAAGCAUCUACAGGGGAAUGAUAAUACGAUCAGCUAAGCAAGGUCAUAGGUUAGGUCUAGCUUCGACGGAUUAGACGAGGAAGCCGCAGCAGACCUUGGCAUGAACAUGAUGUCUGAUCUGAAACUCGCGCUUAGGAAUGAAAAACUAAAGCAAGCUGCCAGUUGAAUGUAACCCGCAGAACUACAAAACGCGGCAACAUUUGUGGAUAGACUUCAGAUCGAGACUUCAAAGGUUUUUUUUGUUUCAUAGAUCUGGGACAAACAUCAUAAUAUUUGAUUGGCUACUCAGUUACUAAAAAAAUAUGCAUGCUAACUUGACUGUUGAGACAGGAACUUCUGUUUUUGGUAAUAAAGGCAUUCAUCACGUCGUUCUUUGUGCAGAAUUUAAUCUUCACCAUUCAUAUGGGCUGUAGGACUAGGUCUGUAGCAAAAAAAUGUAUGAAAUUAGAUACUAUAUAUGCCAUGAUCUUUCACAGAUUGUAGAACCAUGAAGGGAUACAAUAUAUAUAGCUAAAAUUUCAGAAAAUGCUACAUCUAUUCUAGGUACAUCAACCUUUUGAUUAGUAUAGGUCCUUGCACGCUAAUGUGGCGAUGGUUGUGGUGGUUGUGACUGCAAGCUGAAGGACUCCAUGUCGCACAUACACAUGCGGGACACGGGACUUUGCUAGGAGUGGGAGUGAUUUUCAUGGCCAGCGACAGUCAGCAGAGGAAACUCCCACUGAUAAAGAUAAAGAGAAAGCUUCCUCUUCAAUCUCCUCCAAAGAGGUUCAAACAAGGAUCAUUCAUAAUCAAAGAUUCCACAGACCAAAAGACGAGGAAUGAUAUAUGCAACCACACGAAACUAACUGAGAUUCAACCAUUGUAUGCAUUGCACCACCUUUUGUUAUCGAUCCUACCCUUUUGUAACUAAAUAUAAUGCUCGCAAGUAUAAACAACCCUUCCUAUGUGGUACUAAACACCAAGAUCAGUUUAUGUGAUGUAGGACCAGUUUUCCUAUGUGGUAUUAAACACCAGGAUUAGUUUAUGUGAUGUAGGAUCAAUUUUCCUAUGUGGUACUAAACACCAGUAUCAGAUUAUGUGAUGUAGGAUCAGUUUCCGUGGCGCAGCUCAUAUCUAUUUGGGCUGAUGGCUUAUUAAGAAGACAUGAUAACUAUGUACGUUAUCAGUUUGUAACUAAG